rnacentral:rRNA from 1 species
CGGAGAGUUUGAUCAUGGCUCAGGACGAACGCUGGCGGCGUGCCUAAAACAUGCAAGUCGAACGAGGGGGCAACCCCUAGUGGCGAACGGCGGAGUAAGACGUGAGCAACGUGCCCCAAAGUCCGGGACAAACGCAGAAAUGCCAUAAAUACCGGAUGUGGCCUCAACUCGGCAUCGAGAUGAGAUUAAACGGUUUUUCGCUUUGGGAGCGGCUCACGGCCCAUCAGGUAGUUGGAGGGGUAACGGCCCACCAAGCCGACGACGGGUAGCGGGUCUGAGAGGAUGAUCCGCCCGAGUGGGACUGAGACACGGCCCACACACCUACGGGUGGCAGCAGUUGGGAAUCUUGCACAAUGGGGGAAACCCUGAUGCAGCGACGCCGC